CAGUCGCCGCGGUAAUACCGAGGGUGCAAGCGUUAAUCGGAAUUACUGGGCGUAAAGCGCACGCAGGCGGUCUGACAAGUCAGAUGUGAAAUCCCCGGGCUUAACCUGGGAACUGCAUUUGAAACUGUCAGGCUGGAGUCUUGUAGAGGGGGGUGGAAUUCCAGGUGUAGCGGUGAAAUGCGUAGAGAUCUGGAGGAAUACCGGUGGCGAAGGCGGCCCCCUGGACAAAGACUGACGCUCAGGUGCGAAAGCGUGGGGAGCAAACAGGAUUAGAUACCCGAGUAGUCCCUGUCUCUUAUAC
rnacentral:rRNA from 1 species